GAAAAAACGAAUCACCUUCUCCAUCACGGUUCUCGAAGGCAGUGAAAUGAAGUGCAAUUUUUACGCUGAAAAACGGCGAGAAAUUUGUUAAAAGUGUUGUAAGUGUAAAGUUACGGUCGUGCUGAAUCGAUUGGUGAUAUUUUUCGGUCCGGUCGCGACGUAAUAGCAGUGGAAAAAGUGCUUUGAAAAAAGUGUCCAUUCUUGGGUCUGCUGUCUGGUCGUCGUUCGUUCAAAACGAACGGCAUGAAUGGCUGCUGCUGCUUGCAUCGAACCAUCGCUACGUUCGAAAAAGAAAAUUGACGGAGCAUAAUCUGAGCGGAAAUCAAGCCAUCUCCAACGGCAGCAAUUCGAACAAAACAAACACACUGACGAUCCGACGGUCUGAUUUUAAGUGAACGCGUUCCACACCGUUGCUGCUUAGUGCUCAUACACACGACUUGCAAAGCCAUAAAAAAAACAAA